UCAGGUGUGGCCAAAUUAGGUAAGGCAGUAUCUUUUGAAGGUAAAGAUUAUAGGUUCGAGUCCUAUCACCUGAA
rnacentral:tRNA from 1 species